rnacentral:rRNA from 1 species
GAUGAACGCUGGCGGCGUGCCUAAUACAUGCAAGUCGAGCGAACGGACGAGAAGCUUGCUUUUCUGAUGUUAGCGGCGGACGGGUGAGUAACACGUGGAUAACCUACCUAUAGGACUGGGAUAACUUCGGGAAACCGGAGCUAAUACCGGAUAAUAUUUUGAACCGCAUGGUUCAAAAGUGAAAGACGGUCUCGCUGUCACUUAUAGAUGGAUCCGCGCUGCAUUAGCUAGUUGGUAAGGUAACGGCUUACCAAGGCAACGAUGCAUAGCCGACCUGAGAGGGUGAUCGGCCACACUGGAACUGAGACACGGUCCAGACUCCUACGGGAGGCAGCAGUAGGGAAUCUUCCGCAAUGGGCGAAAGCCUGACGGAGCAACGCCGCGUGAGUGAUGAAGGUCUUCGGAUCGUAAAACUCUGUUAUUAGGGAAGAACAUAUGUGUAAGUAACUGUGCACAUCUUGACGGUACCUAAUCAGAAAGCCACGGCUAACUACGUG